rnacentral:rRNA from 1 species
UAGGGAAUCUUCCGCAAUGGACGCAAGUCUGACGGAGCAACGCCGCGUGAGUGAAGAAGGAUUUCGGUUCGUAAAACUCUGUUGUUAGAGAAGAACAGCGCAUAGAGUAACUGUUAUGCGUGUGACGGUAUCUAACCAGAAAGCCACGGCUAACUACGUGCCAGCAGCCGCGGUAAUACGUAGGUGGCAAGCGUUGUCCGGAUUUAUUGGGCGUAAAGCGAGCGCAGGCGGUCAAUUAAGUCUGAAGUGAAAGGCAGUGGCUCAACCAUUGUAGGCUUUGGAAACUGUUUAACUUGAGUGCAGAAGGGGAGAGUGGAAUUCCAUGUGUAGCGGUGAAAUGCGUAGAUAUAUGGAGGAACACCGGUGGCGAAAGCGGCUCUCUGGUCUGUAACUGACGCUGAGGCUCGAAAGCGUGGGGAGCGAACAGG